rnacentral:lncRNA from 1 species
GCGCUUGGGUAUAUGAUACAUAUAUAUUUUUAUUUUUUGUUGUUGUUGAUCAAAAUAGUCAAUUUUCUAUAUUUAUAAUACAUAUGUAUCACUUUUGUGCAUGUCUCAGAGAAAAUACCCAAUUUUACAAUCCAUACUAAGAAAAAUUGGGUAUUUUCUCUGAGUCGUUUAGAUCACUCGAAACUAGGUGAGACAUGCACAAAAGUGAUAUAUAUGCAUUAUUAAUAUAGAAAAUUGAAUAUCUUAAUCAACGAGAAAAAAAUAUAUCUGUAUCAUAUGCCCAAGGCCUGUGGUUUAAUAUACAAAAAAGGCAGUUUUGUAUUCUUUGAUAUCAAGUUAAAUUAUCGAUGCAGAAAAGACAAUUUUUUUUCUGUGUCCAGUAGCAUCGUAGAGCAUAUUCUUAAAAUAUUUUCCCGCACAAUAUCUGGACAUUGGUGGACAUGUAACAUUGCGCACGUUUAGAAAUGAAAAUCAACACUC